GGCAGCUUAGUAGUUGCUUUAAUGUUAUUUUAUUUUGUUUUUUUCCCGAAAUUACGUUUUAUCUUUCAGAAAAAUUAUUCUUUUUUUUAUGACAAAAAAAGUGGUUGUCUUUUCUUCUUUCCUUCUGAAUUGUAAACCGAUCGAGACCUUGUUCUCGUAUUUGAAAAUCUCUCUUUUUCUUCUUUGUUAAAUACAAUUUAGAAAGACAAUAUCCUCCUCUUUUUUUAUGAAAACAUCGGGUUUCUUUUCUUUUGAAUCUGUAGUGUUUAAUUGAAACAACGGCCUUUUGUAAUUCUUGAAUGAAGUUGGUAGACUCUUUUAGUGAAGCUACUCAUUCUUUCCCUGGUGAACAAGUUAGGACUAUUGUGCUCCUUCUGUUAAACGCAGAGAGCUGGAAUGUUUCCUAAUUUUGAUCUCAUACUUGCAUAUUUAUGUUUGCACCCAAAAAGAGGCCUAUAUGAUAUCUUCGAUCUUUAUGUACGGUUGAGGUUAUCGAUUGGAGAGGGUUGUUUCCCAGUUCGUGAAGUAACAACAUCACAGAUUGCCAUCUGCAGCUUGCUUAUUGAGGAGUUAUUGGAAAGGUUUGGGUGGCACAAGCCAAAGUCUAGUCUAGCAAAUAUGAAGUGUAGUUCAACUUCCUGUUAUCCCAAAGGAUUAGGAAAUCAUUAAGAGACCAUUUUUUUCCAUUUUAUUUUUCUUCAAUGUUUUUUUAUAGAUUUAUUUUGUAAUUCUUUCAAAAGUAUAUUUAUGUGAAAUACACAAGAGUUUAGUGGUGGCUUUAAUUCGAGUACUCUACUAUCUUGUAUUGCUCUUAGUCUCAAUGUCUAGAUGAUCAAUGUUUUUCUUGAUAAUCUAUAUUCUUUUUUUGACAAUACAAUACACGUUCUAUUCAAUUUUCAA